rnacentral:rRNA from 1 species
GUUGGCCUACGGGACGCAGCAGUGGGGAAUAUUGGGCAAUGGGCGCAAGCCUGACCCAGCAAUGCCGCGUGAAGGAAGAAGGCUUUCGGGUUGUAAACUUCUUUUGACAGGGAAGAGCAGAAGACGGUACCUGUCGAAUAAGCCACGGCUAAUUACGUGCCAGCAGCCGCGGUAAUACGGAGGUGGCAAGCGUUGUCCGGAUUUACUGGGGGUAAAGGGCGUGUAGCCGGGCUGACAAGUCAGAUGUGAGAUCCGGGGGCUCACCGCCCGAACUGCAUUUGAAACUGUUGGUCUUGAGUAUCGGG